UGCAAGUCGAGCGGACAGAUGGGAGCUUGCUCCCUGAUGUUAGCGGCGGACGGGUGAGUAACACGUGGGUAACCUGCCUGUAAGACUGGGAUAACUCCGGGAAACCGGGGCUAAUACCGGAUGGUUGUUUGAACCGCAUGGUUCAAACAUAAAAGGUGGCUUCGGCUACCACUUACAGAUGGACCCGCGGCGCAUUAGCUAGUUGGUGAGGUAACGGCUCACCAAGGCAACGAUGCGUAGCCGACCUGAGAGGGUGAUCGGCCACACUGGGACUGAGACACGGCCCAGACUCCUACGGGAGGCAGCAGUAGGGAAUCUUCCGCAAUGGACGAAAGUCUGACGGAGCAACGCCGCGUGAGUGAUGAAGGUUUUCGGAUCGUAAAGCUCUGUUGUUAGGGAAGAACAAGUACCGUUCGAAUAGGGCGGUACCUUGACGGUACCUAACCAGAAAGCCACGGCUAACUACGUGCCAGCAGCCGCGGUAAUACGUAGGUGGCAAGCGUUGUCCGGAAUUAUUGGGCGUAAAGGGCUCGCAGGCGGUUUCUUAAGUCUGAUGUGAAAGCCCCCGGCUCAACCGGGGAGGGUCAUUGGAAACUGGGGAACUUGAGUGCAGAAGAGGAGAGUGGAAUUCCACGUGUAGCGGUGAAAUGCGUAGAGAUGUGGAGGAACACCAGUGGCGAAGGCGACUCUCUGGUCUGUAACUGACGCUGAGGAGCGAAAGCGUGGGGAGCGAACAGGAUUAGAUACCCUGGUAGUCCACGCCGUAAACGAUGAGUGCUAAGUGUUAGGGGGU
rnacentral:rRNA from 1 species